rnacentral:rRNA from 1 species
UACGGGGGGAGCAAGCGUUGUUCGGAUUUACUGGGCGUAAAGGGCGCGUAGGCGGCCACCGCAAGUCGGUUGUGAAAUCUCUGGGCUUAACCCAGAAAGGUCAACCGAUACUGCGGGGCUAGAGUGCAGAAGGGGCAACUGGAAUUCUCGGUGUAGCGGUGAAAUGCGUAGAUAUCGAGAGGAACACCUGCGGCGAAGGCGGGUUGCUGGGCUGACACUGACGCUGAGGCGCGAAAGCUAGGGGAGCGAACGGG